rfam:Schizosaccharomyces cryophilus OY26 unplaced genomic scaffold supercont4.2, whole genome shotgun sequence.
GCAUCAGUGGUGUAGCGGUAACAUGGAUGCCUUCCAAGCAUUCGCUCCGGGUUCGACUCCCGGCUGAUGCA